rnacentral:lncRNA from 1 species
CUCUUAUGACAAGUUGCAGUGGUUUACUGUAUCCAAUGCCUAGUUUAUUGGACACUGAACAAACAUACGUCCCGGAAUCACUCUUUCCAGUAUCAUGAAUAACUAAUGAAGGAAAGUCAAUGGUACUUCCAUUAUAUUUUGUCGUACUAUAGGCAGAAAUGUUGACACCAUUCUUUGUCCAAUAAACAAGUGUCGGUUUUGGAUUGGAGUCAUGAGAACAAGGCAGUACUGUAUCGACUCCUUUAUUAACCUCAACCUUUGUGCUGGUCGUAGUGACAAGUGGUAUGUCUG